UAGGGAAUCUUCCGCAAUGGACGAAAGUCUGACGGAGCAACGCCGCGUGAGUGAAGAAGGUUUUCGGAUUGUAAAGCUCUGUUGUUAGGGAAGAACACGUACGAGAGUAACUGCUCGUACCUUGACGGUACCUAACCAGAAAGCCACGGCUAACUACGUGCCAGCAGCCGCGGUAAUACGUAGGUGGCAAGCGUUGUCCGGAAUUAUUGGGCGUAAAGCGCGCGCAGGCGGUUCCUUAAGUCUGAUGUGAAAGCCCCCGGCUCAACCGGGGAGGGUCAUUGGAAACUGGGGAACUUGAGUGCAGGAGAGGAAAGCGGAAUUCCACGUGUAGCGGUGAAAUGCGUAGAUAUGUGGAGGAACACCAGUGGCGAAGGCGGCUGUCUGGUCUGUAACUGACGCUGAGGCGCGAAAGCGUGGGGAGCAGACAGGAUUAGAUACCCUGGUAGUCCACGCCGUAAACGAUGAGUGCUAAGUGUUGGGGGGUUUCCGCCCGUCAGUGCUGCAG
rnacentral:rRNA from 1 species